AUCAAUACUAUUAAAACAGAAGGCCCUUUUUUUAGGUGCCCUCCUGUUUCAACAAUAUUUACCAUUUUUUGCCACUGUAUUAUUUUUAAGCUAUGUUUUUAAUUAAAAUCAGUAUUUUUGUAAUUUUUUUUAUUCAAACAGAAACACAUAUGUGAUAGCUAUGUAAUUCUUUUUAUUUUCGUAAUACAUUCAAAGUAAUCGAAUAUACCCUAAAUCCCUAAUAAUACUGAACGACAUAUUACCUGAAAUCCCUAAUAAUACUAAACGACAUCUAUUUAGUUUGAUUUUGUACCACUUUCAACCGUGGUUUUUCGAAGAUUAUACAGAUGAAGCUUGAUACAAAUGCUUUGAAACUUCCAUUCCUACGAUUGGCAAAAAUAUGCUUGAUGAUUUUUCUAUUCUAUCCUCCACUGAUCUCCCGAACAUCAUAUUAAGAAGCUGUACAGAUUGUGAAGCCUGCGGAAGGAACAACCACACCCGCUUUUUUCUUCUGAGUUGUCAUGGUCGCUGCUGAUUUUCGGGCUAGGAGAGGAGGCGAAUCAAUCGAGAUGAAGGAGAAGAUUGAUGUCAAUAAGAAGCCAAUGACUAGAUAUUUUAAGGAAGCCAAACAUUAACCCUGUUGUCUGUUUAUUUGACCCUGGAGAAAAGACUUCUGUGGAGGGUCCUGUCACACCUUUUAUUCUCCAUAAUUCUUUUUCUCUGCUUAUGUAUUUCCAGCUAAUAAGUAUAAGUGUUCUUGCUUUGAAACUUGGACUUUAUUAUAUGUACUGAUGCUUUUUGAUCAGCUUAAUGAGCAGCGUCAAACUGAUUCCUGAGCAGCGUCGAACUGGUGGAAGGGUGAUAUGGAGAGCAGGAAGCGUGAUGGUGGUUUAUCAUGGGUGUGACUCCUUCUGCGAUCUCUAAUCAAAUUGCCAGACCUGAAGAAACUCUUUUUUUUUGUUCCAGAUGUAUCUUCAGCUGGCAUUAAAGCAACAAAAUGCCAAGUAGUCUAAACGCACCUCCGGAAAUCAAAGAUCCGAUUGUCAAGAACCCGAUUCGCAAGGAGAGUAUGACAGAAGAAGAAUCUGAGUUUAACAGUCUAUUAAACAGCUUAGGCUCACGUUUUCACGAGUGGUGGGGUACUGGUGUGAUUCCGGUGAGCGCUGACUUACUACCUCAUACGAUUCCCGGUUAAAAAACACAUUUCAGGCUUCUUCCUAUAAAACUCUCCCUUGCCAUUUUGCUCUUGGUAGGAACAGGAAUCACUAAGAAUUGGCAACGCUAUACUUAAGCCCUGGGAGAAAAGUUUGAUUGCAAAGAUUGCCGUGAAGCGAGGUAUCCAGAAUUCAAAUAACAAACUGAUGGCGGAUGAGAUAUUAGUGUUUGUACAUAAUUCUCUUUCUCUGCUUAUGUAUUUCCAGCUUAGAAAUAAAAGGGAAAACAGAAUUUAAUAUAAAAAAUAAGUCAAUGUUU